rnacentral:rRNA from 1 species
GAUGAACGCUGACGGAAUGCUUAACACAUGCAAGUCAACUUGAAUUUGGGUUUUUAACUUAGGUUUGGGUGGCGGACGGGUGAGUAACGCGUAAAGAACUUGCCUCACAGCUAGGGACAACAUUUGGAAACGAAUGCUAAUACCUAAUAUUAUGAUAAUAGGGCAUCCUAUAAUUAUGAAAGCUAUAAGCGCUGUGAGAGAGCUUUGCGUCCCAUUAGCUAGUUGGAGAGGUAACGGCUCACCAAGGCGAUGAUGGGUAGCCGGCCUGAGAGGGUGAUCGGCCACAAGGGGACUGAGACACGGCCCUUACUCCUACGGGAGGCAGCAGUGGGGAAUAUUGGACAAUGGACCAAGAGUCUGAUCCAGCAAUUCUGUGUGCACGAUGAAGUUUUUCGGAAUGUAAAGUGCUUUCAGUUGGGAAGAAAGAAAUGACGGUACCAACAGAAGAAGUGACGGCUAAAUACGUGCCAGCAGCCGCGGUAAUACGUAUGUCACGAGCGUUAUCCGGAUUUAUUGGGCGUAAAGCGCGUCUAGGUGGUUAUGUAAGUCUGAUGUGAAAAUGCAGGGCUCAACUCUGUAUUGCGUUGGAAACUGUAUAACUAGAGUACUGGAGAGGUAAGCGGAACUACAAGUGUAGAGGUGAAAUUCGUAGAUAUUUGUAGGAAUGCCGAUGGGGAAGCCAGCUUACUGGACAGAUACUGACGCUGAAGCGCGAAAGCGUGGGUAGCAAACAGG